AGAGUUUGAUCAUGGCUCAGGAUGAACGCUAGCGGGAGGCUUAACACAUGCAAGUCGAGGGGCAGCAUAGGGUAGCAAUACUCUGAUGGCGACCGGCAGACGGGUGAGUAACGCGUAUGCAACCUACCCUGUACUGGGGCAUAACCCGGAGAAAUUCGGACUAAUACCCCAUAGUAAUAUUGAAAGGCAUCUUUUAAUAUUUAAAGUUCCGGCGGUACAGGACGGGCAUGCGUAACAUUAGCUAGUUGGUAAGGUAACGGCUUACCAAGGCUUUGAUGUUUAGGGGUCCUGAGAGGGUGAUCCCCCACACUGGUACUGAGACACGGACCAGACUCCUACGGGAGGCAGCAGUGAGGAAUAUUGGUCAAUGGGCGCAAGCCUGAACCAGCCAUCCCGCGUGCAGGAAGACGGCCCUAUGGGUUGUAAACUGCUUUUCCAGGGGGAGAAAUUUACGUACGCGUUGCGUAUUUGACGGUACCCUGGGAAUAAGCAUCGGCUAACUCCGUGCCAGCAGCCGCGGUAAUACGGAGGAUGCAAGCGUUAUCCGGAUUCAUUGGGUUUAAAGGGUGCGUAGGCGGGUUGUUAAGUCAGUGGUGAAAUCCUGCAGCUCAACUGUAGAACUGCCAUUGAUACUGAUAGUCUUGAGUUUGGUUAAGGUAGGCGGAAUGUAAUGUAGCGGUGAAAUGCUUAGAUAUUACACAGAACACCGAUUGCGUAGGCAGCUUACUGAGCCGACACUGACGCUGAGGCACGAAAGCGUGGGGAUCGAACAGGAUUAGAUACCCUAGUAGUCC
rnacentral:rRNA from 1 species